AGCAGCCGCCGCGGUAAUACGAAGGGUGCAAGCGUUACUCGGAAUUACUGGGCGUAAAGCGUGCGCAGGCGGUUCGUUAAGACAGAUGUGAAAUCCCCGGGCUUAACCUGGGAACUGCAUUUGUGACUGGCGAGCUAGAGUAUGGCAGAGGGGGGUAGAAUUCCACGUGUAGCAGUGAAAUGCGUAGAGAUGUGGAGGAAUACCGAUGGCGAAGGCAGCCCCCUGGGCCAAUACUGACGCUCAUGCACGAAAGCGUGGGGAGCAAACAGGAUUAGAGACCCCCGUAGUCCCUGUCUCUUAUAC
rnacentral:rRNA from 1 species